UACGUAGGGUGCGAGCGUUACUCGGAAUUACUGGGCGUAAAGCGUGCGCAGGCGGUUUUGUAAGCCGGAUGUGAAAUCCCCGGGCUCAACCUGGGAACUGCAAUGGAAACUGGCGGGCUUGAGUAUGGCAGAGGGGGGUGGAAUUCCGCGUGUAGCAGUGAAAUGCGUAGAUAUCGGGAGGAACACCAGUGGCGAAGGCGACUACCUGGCCUGUUUCUUGACGCUGAGGCGCGAAAGCUAGGGGAGCAAACGGG
rnacentral:rRNA from 1 species